rnacentral:pre_miRNA from 1 species
GCUGGGAAGUGUAAGAAAAGAGGGCGAGUAGUGGGAGUGGGAACAUGGAGGAAAGCCUAACUUGCUUUGUUUUCACCUCUAGCGUUGGAGGUGAGAACUUGCUUUGGUGUUUCCCGAUGCCUCCCAUUCCCAUUGUUCUCAACCACUCCUUCCUCUUUCUUUUUGGG